GAAGAGUCGUCGUAACACGACGCGAGCCUCCCAUACCUCUCGACUCAUGAAAAAGAUCGAAAGUUCCGCUUGCCUGGAUCGCUAGUAGACGCGAUCCAUCUGACACUUUACAGACUUUGCCACUUCAAGAACGCAGAAUCUCGAAACGGAAAUAGAGUACAGAGCUAUGCUAAUUGUAAGCACGGCGAUGUUAAAGGAACAGCUUGUGCGAUGGAGAUCUGGAUAAAAGGAAAAUAAAAUUUAACAAGAGCGGGACGAAAAGAAGAGGGAACAGAAAAAGAAGAAACUGGAGAAAGAGGAAGGAAAUUCACGAAAGUCAAAAGCUUCGGUUGUCUCGAUCGCUACUAAACUCGGUCUAGAGCUCCUCGAAAUACCUCGAGCUAUACGGAAACAGUAACGUACAAGCUACAACGAUGCAACGCAGAACGCAGCACUGCGACGUUGAGCGAAUAGCUUGCCGGCGGAUGUGCGCACGAUAUGGAAAUAAAAAAGAAGAAGAACGCAAGAAGGAAAAAUAGGAGAAGAAGGAAAAUAGAGUCGAAAGUUCCACUUGUUGUCUCGAUCGGUACUACGCCUAUGAGCACGAUCGAUUCAGAACUGUUGAAAAAUACCGCUCGAAGAGCCUCGAAACACGCGGAAACGAACAACAUGCGCGUAGAUAGAAACUGCAAGGAUGCAACGCAAGACGCAACAUUGCAACGCGAAAGGGGCAGUGAGUGCCGUGGAUAUGUGAAAUAAAAAGGAAAUAAAAAGGAAGGAGGAUGAGAAAGAAGAAGAAACCGGAGAAAGAGAAAGGAGACUGAAAGUUAGGCUGGCCACGGAGCAUUGGCAGUCUCUGUCUGCCGCUCGGGGGGCGAGCCUGUCUGAGGCAAGCUAGGCAGACAGGUUUGCACAGAUGCGCGGCGGCCAUCAUGAAUGCCUGUAAAAUAUGUACUCUCGUGCGGCCCGGUUGGUAAGAGCUGCGACCGGAGCGGGGAUGAGAGCAGCAGAUGAGAAAGAGCUGGCUGGUGGAGAAGAGAGGGUCUAUGCGAGUCGGAGGGGGAGAAAAACCAUAGGAAAAGAGAGUCAGGGUGGGAAGAGCAGCGCCUCCAGCGAGCGGAUCAGCGUUGCUCGCAGGCAGAGGAGCCGUCGAAGAGAAAAGGAGAGGACGUUGAAAGCGUGCGGAUGGAGCGAGAGAGCAGCCAGCGUGCACCGCAGUUCCAUUUCAUGGGGAAAUAGAGUUCUGAAAAUAUCGAGGUGCAUCGAUAGCGACGUUCAUGGCGACAGCGAGUUAAUAAGAAGCUUGAAAAGUGUUUCAAUUUUGAAUGAAACGUCAGCAGGAGGGGAAGAAGUUAAGAAGCACAGGGGAAGAUCUGUUCGAGAUACAAAUACGAAGAAAGGGGAGAAAGAUUCUCGGUUGGCGAACGACUGGACGGGCGAAGGGACAAAAAAUUCCAUCUGCCUCCAUACCUCGACGAACCUCGUCAGACCACCCACGGCCACGCGAUAUUAUUCUCUUAAUUAAUGAAUUUUUACAUCUUCGUUUGAACUUUGUCGAUCGUCUCCGCUAUCUUGCCACGUUCCAUUCCAUUCGGUCUGAAAACGACGAACGAGUACACUCGGUUUACCCGCGAGCGUUCGAUUCUUCGUCCUGGAUCGUCAAAACGUUAAUCACUGGCGGAUGUCGUUCAAUGCGCGAACUUAAAUACUAGUCGACGUCCACCCACGAAAGAGCAAUGAAACGGACGCGAGGCAGCGGAUAAGUCGAAAACGGAGGGAGGAAGCGUGGAAAUAUUUAGCGAGUGAACGGUAAUGCUUAUUUUGGUUCGUCGAUAACAUGGAAGACGAUAUGUAGCAAUGUCCAGGCCGUGUCAGUCGAGCGUACAAGCAGUUCCCUUUAAUUAGCCGUCGUACAAGCGUCGUGGACCGGCCUGCACGAUAUAUUUAUGCGCUGCCUUAGACAUCGAGUAACGAAAGAAGAAAAAGGGAAGAAAAGAAGCGGCUAGGGGAAAGAAGAAGCAGCGGUACUGUGGCGAGAGUACGAACGGCAGCAGGAACAGUCGGAGAAGAAGAAAAAGCCAAGCAACCGACUGGUCGAGCAACGCGACCGACUGGCGAAGGCUGUGUAACCGGCUGGCUGGCUGGCUGGCUGGCACAGGUCGAGCCAGCAAAGCCGAGGCUAGUCGGGCUGAAAGAGGCGGAAAGCGAGCGAGCGUAGCAGCAAAUCCCCGUGUAACACGUUCCACGAGUUUACAGCUUCUACGGGGUAAUGCUGGCGUCACCGCAAUAAUAUUUAUGGUCGCUUGCGAGAUUAUAAUAUCUUAUUUCGCGUGACGCCUCGGACAUAUCCGGUUCUCCCAGCAUGGCAGCGCAUGCGUGGGCCCCAUCGAGACGCAUGCGAAAUAUUUGAAAAUUUACUCUACAUUUUAUACCCGCGCGGGCUGUGCAAAUGCGAUUGCCACGAGGGGAAAGCGAAGAACGUGUUCCUCCGCGAGUACCCACCGCGAUCCACGUUUUCCUUAUUGCUGGCGAUAGUACGAGCGAGAUCGAUGAAUCGAUACCGUGACGAUCGCCGACGAAAUAUCGAGUGGCCGAGGGUGGUUUGUAAAUCUGGAAACGCGAUUCUACCAAGAGGUUCUCGAUCGUGAACGCAAAUAUCUGUAUAAAUGGCUGAUUUAAAGGCAAAGAUAAAUUAGAUAAGCUUUAA